AAUAAGUGUAGUUUUUCACUAUUCACAUUUAACAUUUGACCGUUCGUCUUAUUUGAAAAUUUUUUAUGAUUAGUAUUUUUAUUGCUAUUAGAUGUUAAAACAUAAAUAGUACUUUAUGUGUGACUAAAUAUUUUCAAUUUUUUCAUAAAAUUUUUAUUCAAGACGGACAGUUAAACGUUGGGCACGGAUAUCUACGGCUGCACUUAUU
rfam:Oryza glumipatula chromosome 4, whole genome shotgun sequence.